UUGUCCGUGAUCAACCACGUUAU
rnacentral:snRNA from 1 species